rnacentral:tRNA from 1 species
GAUCGCGUAGCUCAGUUGGCAGAGCAUUGGGCUGGUAUUCCAAAGGUCGUAUGUUCGAUUCCCACCGUGGCCG